UAAUCACCUGCUUUGAGGCCACUGGGAGCAACAUCCAAGGAGCUGGGGAGCAACAUGUUACUCAUGAGCUACUGGUUGGGGAUCACUGCUCUAGGUGAUACUGUCAGCAGCCACUUUCACUCUUCUCCUUGUUUAAGUCUUUUAUUUCAGGCACAGACUGGAUCAGACAGCUUGCACUCGGCCCCUUUCAGUGACGAUGCCCAGGGUCAGUAGGUGGGACAGCAAAUACAAACAUGGCCGCCGCAAAUACUGCCAGGAAGGAUUUUGUAAAUGGAAAAGCUGAUGCUUUGGCAGGUUUAGCCUAAUAUCUAAGCACAGCAGCAGCGACAAGAUGGUGCCAAUGGGCUCAGAACAACGUGUUGACCUACAAAUGUAUUGGAGUUACAGUCCAGGGAGGUGCCGGCUCUUCUCUGAAGGUCCCACAGAGAGAAAGAGUUGUCGGCGGUAAAAGAAUCAGAGAAAACUGGGAAGCUGAUGUUGCUAGGAAACCGUUAUGACAACAAACACUGGAAAAUUGUUAGAGCCAUUAUGACAUCACCAACUGGACAGCUGUUUUUGCUAGAGAACCAUUAUGACAUCACCAACAGGAAAGCUUGUUGCUAGAGAACCAUUAUGACAUCACAGUACUAAUAAUCUAGUAUCUGACCAACAGUUAGUCCAAUGGUUAUUUAGUCGUGUUGGAGCCAGGAGAGGUAAGCACAUCACUUUCUCUCUUCUCAAUAUUCUGAGCCAAACAGAUAUAUGACACAAAAAACAUUAUUAUAUAACU